AUUGAACGCUGGCGGCAGGCCUAACACAUGCAAGUCGAGCGGAUGAAGGGAGCUUGCUCCUGGAUUCAGCGGCGGACGGGUGAGUAAUGCCUAGGAAUCUGCCUGGUAGUGGGGGAUAACGUCGGGAAACGGGCGCUAAUACCGCAUACGACCUGAGGGAGAAAGUGGGGGAUCUUCGGACCUCACGCUAUCAGAUGAGCCUAGGUCGGAUUAGCUAGUUGGUGGGGUAAAGGCCUACCAAGGCGACGAUCCGUAACUGGUCUGAGAGGAUGAUCAGUCACACUGGAACUGAGACACGGUCCAGACUCCUACGGGAGGCAGCAGUGGGGAAUAUUGGACAAUGGGCGAAAGCCUGAUCCAGCCAUGCCGCGUGUGUGAAGAAGGUCUUCGGAUUGUAAAGCACUUUAAGUUGGGAGGGAGGGCAGUAAGUUAAUACCUUGCUGUUUUGACGUUACCAACAGAAUAAGCACCGGCUAACUUCGUG
rnacentral:rRNA from 1 species